rnacentral:rRNA from 1 species
AUACGUAGGGGGCGAGCGUUGUCCGGAAUGAUUGGGCGUAAAGGGCGCGUAGGCGGCCCGGUAAGUCUGGAGUGAAAGUCCUGUUUUUAAGAUGGGAAUUGCUUUGGAUACUGUCGGGCUUGAGUGCAGGAGAGGUAAGUGGAAUUCCCAGUGUAGCGGUGAAAUGCGUAGAGAUUGGGAGGAACACCAGUGGCGAAGGCGACUUACUGGACUGUAACUGACGCUGAGGCGCGAAAGUGUGGGGAGCAAACAGGAUUAGAUACCCUGGUAGUCCACACUGUAAACGAUGAAUGCUAGGUGUAGGGGGUAUCGACCCCUUCUGUGCCGCAGUCAACACAAUAAGCAUUCCACCUGGGAGUACGGCCGCAAGGUUGAAACUCAAAUGAAUUGACGGGG